AUGUCUACUCAGACGAAGCGCACCAAGAAGGCCGGAAUCGUCGGGAAGUAUGGUACCAGGUAUGGUGCCAGUUUGCGUAAGCAGAUCAAGAAGAUGGAGGUGUCUCAGCACUCCAAGUACUUCUGUGAAUUCUGUGGGAAGUUUGCUGUGAAGAGGAAAGCUGUUGGAAUUUGGGGAUGCAAGGACUGUGGCAAGGUCAAGGCUGGCGGCGCCUAUACCAUGAACACUGCUAGUGCAGUCACCGUCAGGAGCACGAUCCGUCGCUUGAGGGAGCAGACCGAAGCAUGA
rnacentral:rRNA from 1 species